rnacentral:rRNA from 1 species
GAUGAACGCUGGCGGCGUGCCUAACACAUGCAAGUCGAACGGAGUCCAGCCUUUAAGACCUUCGGGUCAAAGAGGGGAAGACUGAGUGGCGGACGGGUGAGUAACACGUGGGCAACCUGGCUCAUAGAGGGGGAUAACAGAGAGAAAUUUCUGCUAAUACCGCAUAAGCACACACUGCCGCAUGGCAGAGGGUGAAAAGAGAAUCGCUAUGAGAUGGACCCGCGUCUGAUUAGCCAGUUGGCAGGGUUAGAGCCUACCAAAGCGACGAUCAGUAGCCGAUCUGAGAGGAUGAACGGCCACAUUGGGACUGAGACACGGCCCAAACUCCUACGGGAGGCAGCAGUGGGGGAUAUUGCACAAUGGGGGGAACCCUGAUGCAGCGACGCCGCGUGAGUGAAGAAGUAUUUCGGUAUGUAAAGCUCUAUCAGCAGGGAAGAUAAUGACAGUACCUGAAUAAGAAGCCCCGGCUAACUACGUG